GGGGCCAUGGUAUAACUUGGCAGAACAGCAGGCUCCAGUAACUCCGUGAUUGGAGCUAUGAGCCCUUCAGGGCGAUGACUUUGAAGAAACCUGCGGAUCGGGGUUCGAAUCCCCGUGGCCCCA
rnacentral:tRNA from 1 species